GACAGAAUCUCCAAGCGUUACCCGGAUUUAUUGGGCGUAAAGGGUCCGUAGGUGGCAUAGUAAGUUUUGAGUUAAAACCCAUCGGCUUAACCUUUGGGGUGCUCAAAAUACUGCUAAGCUUGAGGACGUUAGAGGUUAAGGGAACCGACGGAGUAGGGGUGAAAUCCGUUGAUAUCGUCGGGAACACCAAAAGCGAAGGCACUUAACCAGGGCGAUCCUGACACUGAGGGACGAAAGCAUGGGGA
rnacentral:rRNA from 1 species